CGGGCCUCGGCGGCCGCCAACUCCCUCCUCCUCCAAAUCCUCCUCCUCCUCCGCGGCCGCCCCAAGGCCGCCGGCUGCCGAGUGCAACCGGGAGGUGGAAUCCCUCUGCCAGAGGGCAUCCCUUUCCAGUGUUGGGGCCCAAGAGCAGAGCGGCGCAUCCCACCCACGGGUCCCGCCUAAGACCCCUAAAGGGGUAGAAAAGAGAGGAACCAUCACGAGGAGAACCGACAGCGAGCCAGGGACCCGCGGGAAGACAUUUAAGGGGUUUGAGAAGACUCUUGCGAUGCCCCUAAUCAACUGGGAGCUUUGUGAGUAAGUGGAUACAAAUAUCUGGCAAGUGCGUCUCUUGAGUGUGGUCAGGUGAGGCUGGCGCGGCACUGCCAGUUACGCACACUCUCAGGUAUAGCGGCAGACUAGGAUUCACAACUGAUGAUCAGCAGUACCCAAGAACAGCCCACAGUGAAGCUGGAGACCACAAAAAGCCCACAGCCCACACCUCUGGAGAGCAUUUUGGAGAAGACAGGUGGAGGAGAAAGUAAGGCCAAACCUCAUGAUUGGCCCGUGACUUGGUGAAGGCUGUCCCUGAGCAAAAGAAUCCAGUGUUUGGAAGACCUUUCAUAUCCUGCUAACAGUAACAACCCACAGAUCUGCCACCAAAAUAAACAUAGCCUUUUCCAAAGUGCUGUAAAAAGUCUAAAAUGUCUGAGCUUCAUUACCAAAGGUUGGUAGUGAUUCAAAAUAUACUAGCAGAGGAGAUCAAAUUAAGAAGAUAAAGUAAAGACAAUUAUGGAAAUCCUAAUUAAGAUUUUUGCACCAUGCUGGUGGAAGGAACUGAAACCAGUCUGAAUGAGGAUCAUCUGGUUAUUUUGCGGUCCCCUUCCAGAUGGGACAUUUACCCUGACUCUGAGGUUGUUCUAGCUUUAUGGUAGGGUCUUCUAUCAGAAUCCACAUCUUCGGUGUUACUUUUAUUGUUGUUUUCCUUUCUUACUUAGUGCCAGAGAAAAUGCUGCCUCUUCCAACUAACAGUAUCUUAGAUGAAAUACAGUAUAUUUGAAAUGAUUAUGCAACUUAAGAAA